rnacentral:rRNA from 1 species
CUAUAGCUGAUCUGAGAGGAUGAUCAGCCACACUGGAACUGAGAUACGGUCCAGACUCCUACGGGAGGCAGCAGUGGGGAAUAUUGGACAAUGGGCGAAAGCCUGAUCCAGCCAUGCCGCAUGAGUGAAGAAGGCCUUUGGGUUGUAAAGCUCUUUUAGUGAGGAAGAUAAUGACGGUACUCACAGAAGAAGUCCUGGCUAACUCCGUGCCAGCAGCCGCGGUAAUACGGAGAGGGCUAGCGUUAUUCGGAAUUAUUGGGCGUAAAGGGCGCGUAGGCUGAUUAAUAAGUUAAAAGUGAAAUCCCGAGGCUUAACCUUGGAAUUGCUUUUAAAACUAUUAAUCUAGAGAUUGAAAGAGGAUAGAGGAAUUCCUGAUGUAGAGGUAAAAUUCGUAAAUAUUAGGAGGAACACCAGUGGCGAAGGCGUCUAUCUGGUUCAAAUCUGACGCUGAAGCGCGAAGGCGUGGGGAGCAAACAGGAUUAGAUACCCUGGUAGUCCACGCUGUAAACGAUGAAUGUUAAAUAUGGGAAGUUUACUUUCUGUAUU